ensembl:lncRNA
GGAACUGCCCAGGGUGGCUGUGGGAACUGCCCAGGGGUGGUUGUGGGAACUGCCCAGGGUGGCUGUGGGAACUGCCCGGGGUGGCUGUGGGAACUGCCCGGGGUGGCUGUGGGAACUGCCCGGGGUGGCUGUGGGAACUGUUCCCUGACAUUUUGUCACUUCCUUUGAGACAGACAGAUCACAUGUCCCUCUGUGUCCUUUAGUCAAGAGGCAGAUCACAUGUCCCUCCUGUAGUCAAGAGGAGGAGGAAAGGCAGUGAAGUCCACCUGGUCAGGUGACUCAGGUUUAGGUUUUCCCUCCGAGAGCGUUGAUGCUAGCUAGAGGAAUGUGGUAAUCUCUCUGUAUGGAUCAGAGCUGGUAGUUCCUGACUGAACCUCUUUGACUGAACCAUUUUCAGCAACGGAACCCACAGGGAAGUAGUGCACUAUGUAGGGAAUAGGGUGUCAUGUGGGAUGGGAGUUUCUAUCUUUCCUGCGGGGGUUUCCUUAGUGAC